AUCAUUGCAAAUCGAAUAAUGCUCGCUUUUUAUUUAAUAAUAUUCUUAUUAGUAACAUUAUCUAUUCACAAAGAUUGGUCGAGAAGCAACAGUGAUUAAUUUAAAAACAAAAAAUUAAUAUCAAUUUUUUCCGCUUGUUGCUUUUGGGACAGGUGUAAUUGAUGUUAGCCGUGAGAAUAUGCUUAUAUUUUGGUCGUCCAGCCCCAAAAGGUGAAGCCGAUCCUUGGCUCAGAGAUCCUCACUACGAUAUGCACUAAUACAUUAUUAAUCAUGGAUUUGAAAGUUUUUGCGCCGAUAAAUGCCCAAAUUCACUAUAUCCACGUUGCGCCGAUUGCUCUCCUGAUUCGAAUCAUGAGAAUACCGAAUUUAUUAAAAAAAUUAAUAUUAUAAUGUAACUUAAACAUUAUUUUUCAUAUUAAAUGUAUUUCGCCUUUUACUAUAUUAUAUUUAAUAUUAAGGUUUCAUAAUUAUGCAUUUUAUUUAAUUAUUAUUUAAAAUUAUUGAAGUCUAA